GCUGGCCUUGAACCCCAUCUAGCUACCAGGAGAGCUGUUUACAUGGAAUCCAAGUUGCCUGCCAGGGGCAGAGCACGUUUUUCCACAGCUGCUGAGAAAGACGAGUGAGUCAAGACAGAAUAACAAAAAGCCACUUCAAAAACACACCAGAAGAAGUACGAAGCUGAGACAAUCACAGGUUUGAAACAUCCCCUCCUCCCAAAGCCCUGACUAGAGAGUGUAAAAACAAGUCUCAAGGGAGCCUCUGGGCCCUGCAGGUUUCGAGCCUCCUCGUGGUUGCUGACUUGAGAACUGGGCCUGUCCCUGUACUUCUGAGAGGAGCCAGGAGUUGAUGUUGUGGGGGCUCAGAAACCUGAGUUCUGAGAACUGUGGGACUGAGAGGGGGACAGCCCCUAGGUUCUCAGUGUCUCUGGGAAGCUGAGUGGUGGUGGUGGUGGUGGGGCUGUGGGAAAAGGCAGGGCCAGGCUGGAUGGGCAAAGGUGUAGAGACUCCUCCUGUCUGGAAAACAGCUAUGGUAAAGAAGUGGAGUCCUGUCUUAUCUCCAGCCUCUGAGGAACUUACAGCCCCAGAAGGCAAGGCAUCCACCCAUGUAGCCUGUCAGGAAUCUAAGGGUAUAAGGUCACUCAUAUCCACAAAAUUCUUCCUCUGGGACCUAAUGCUUCUCUCUCCAACAUCAUUUUCCUCUGUAGGACAAUAGAGCCCAUUGAAGAGGAGCCUGGAGUUGGAGGUAUUGGCUCAAGUCCCUCCGACUGUCAUUCAGUUGCCAUGAGACUUUAGGUAAGUUACUAUCAAAUGAACCACAUCCCUUGCCAAAGUAGGGGCUAAGAUUUUUUUUGUUUUGGUUUGGUUUUUCGAGACAAGAGUAUCUCUGUGUAGCCUUAGCUGUGUUGGAACUCACUCUGUAAACCAGGCUGGCCUUGAACUUAGAACCCAGAGAUCUGCCUGCCCCUGCUUCCCAAGUGCUGGGAUUAAAGGCGUGUGUGAGACAGGGUCUUACAUGGCUCAGGCUGACCGAUAGCUGCCUGUAUAUUUGAGGAUGGCCUGGAGUUCCUGCCUUCACCUCCCAGAUGUUGGGGUCACAGGCAUGCUCAGUUACUUUGGGUUUCGAUUUUCAGUUUUCUUUUUUCCUCUUUUGGAAAGAGGAUCUCAAAGAUGUAGCCCAGACUACAGGUACCCAUGGUGCUGCAUUAGUUUAAAAGGUGAGAUCUCAACCCUUGGGAGGUACAACAGUCAAUCAGUCAAUCAAUUAUCAAUAAAUCAGUGUGAUCCUCAGUGUACCCCGGACAUUUUAAAUUUAACUAAUUGAAUGUGUGGGUGUUCUGCUGCAUAUAUGCAACAGGCCAGAAGAGGG
rnacentral:lncRNA from 1 species